rnacentral:rRNA from 1 species
UACGUAGGGUGCGAGCGUUAAUCGGAAUUACUGGGCGUAAAGCGUGCGCAGGCGGUUUUGUAAGCCAGGUGUGAAAUCCCCGGGCUCAACCUGGGAAUGGCAUUUGGGACUGCAAGGCUCGAGUUUGGCAGAGGAGACUGGAAUUCCUGGUGUAGCAGUGAAAUGCGUAGAUAUCAGGAGGAAUACCGAUGGCGAAGGCAGGUCUCUGGGCUGAAACUGACGCUCAUGCACGAAAGCGUGGGGAGCAAACAGG